AUUACCGUGGUGUAGUGGUAAACACCCCCGAUUUGUACUUAACGCGAGAAUCAGGUUCGAUGCCUGGCGGCAGUU